rnacentral:rRNA from 1 species
GACGAACGCUGGCGGCGUGCUUAACACAUGCAAGUCGAACGGUAAGGCCCUUCGGGGUACACGAGUGGCGAACGGGUGAGUAACACGUGGGUGAUCUGCCCUGCACUUCGGGAUAAGCCUGGGAAACUGGGUCUAAUACCGGAUAGGACCACUGCCUGCAUGGGUGGUGGUGGAAAGCUUUUGCGGUGUGGGAUGGGCCCGCGGCCUAUCAGCUCGUUGGUGGGGUGAUGGCCUACCAAGGCGACGACGGGUAGCCGGCCUGAGAGGGUGACCGGCCACACUGGGACUGAGAUACUGCCCAGACUCCUACGGGAGGCAGCAGUGGGGAAUAUUGCACAAUGGGCGCAAGCCUGAUGCAGCGACGCCGCGUGAGGGAUGACGGCCUUCGGGUUGUAAACCUCUUUCAGCACCGACGAAGCGCAAGUGACGGUAGGUGCAGAAGAAGGACCGGCCAACUACGUGCCAGCCGCCGCAGUAA